rnacentral:rRNA from 1 species
CUACGGGGGGCUGCAGUGAGGAAUCUUGCGCAAUGGGGGAAACCCUGACGCAGCGACGCCGCGUGGGUGAUGAAGGCCUUCGGGUCGUAAAGCCCUGUCGAGAGGGAAGAAUUGCAUUUAGGUUAAUAGCCUAAUUGUUUGACGGUACCUCCAAAGGAAGCACCGGCUAACUCCGUGCCAGCAGCCGCGGUAAUACGGAGGGUGCAAGCGUUGUUCGGAAUCACUGGGCGUAAAGGGCGUGUAGGCGGCUGAGUAAGUCAGGUGUGAAAUCCCUCGGCUCAACCGAGGAAGUGCAUUUGAUACUCCUCAUCUUGAGUACUGGAGAGGGAGAUGGAAUUCCCGGUGUAGAGGUGAAAUUCGUAGAUAUCGGGAGGAACACCAGUGGCGAAGGCGAUCUCCUGGACAGAUACUGACGCUAAGGCGCGAAAGCGUGGGGAGCAAACAGGAUUAGAUACCCGGGUAGUC